GAUGAACGCUGGCGGCGUGCCUAAUACAUGCAAGUCGAGCGAACAGAUGAGAAGCUUGCUUCUCUGAUGUUAGCGGCGGACGGGUGAGUAACACGUGAGUAACCUACCUAUAAGACUGGGAUAACUCCGGGAAACCGGGGCUAAUACCGGAUAAUAUUUUGAUCCGCAUGGUUCGAUAGUGAAAGACGGUUUCGGCUGUCACUUAUAGAUGGACCCGCGCCGUAUUAGCUAGUUGGUAAGGUAACGGCUUACCAAGGCGACGAUACGUAGCCGACCUGAGAGGGUGAUCGGCCACACUGGAACUGAGACACGGUCCAGACUCCUACGGGAGGCAGCAGUAGGGAAUCUUCCGCAAUGGGCGAAAGCCUGACGGAGCAACGCCGCGUGAGUGAUGAAGGUCUUCGGAUCGUAAAACUCUGUUGUUAGGGAAGAACAAAUUUGUUAGUAACUGAACAAGUCUUGACGGUACCUAACCAGAAAGCCACGGCUAACUACGUGCCAGCAGCCGCCGUAA
rnacentral:rRNA from 1 species